GACGAACGCUGGCGGCGUGCCUAAUACAUGCAAGUCGACCUUAGUGGCGAAAGGGUGAGUAACACGUGGGUAACCGGCCCAUCAGAAGGGGAUAACACUUGGAAACAGGCGCUACUACCGAAUACUUAUGGAUGGAGCUGCGGUGCAUUAGCUAGUUGGGGAGGUAACGGCUCACCAAGGGCACGAUGCAUAGCCGGCCGGAGAGGGGGAUCAGCAACAUUGGAACUGAGACACGGCCCAAACUCCUACGGGAGGCAGCAGUAGGGAAUCUUCGGCAAUGGGCGAAAGUCUGACCGAGCAACGCCGCGUGAGUGAAGAAGGUUUUCGGAUUGUAAAACUCUGUUGUUAGGGAGGCGUUAUCUGACCAGGAAGCCCCGGCUAACUACGUGCCAGCAGCCGCGGUAAUAC
rnacentral:rRNA from 1 species